rnacentral:lncRNA from 1 species
UGGUAAUAUAACAAUCGGAUUGCAUUAUUCUUUGUAACCCUGUCAGUGAGCAUGCAUACCUACAUAUUUGUUGGUUUCAGGACACUCCGAUACAGUCAUCGUAAUUGACCAAAGAAUUCAGCUAAUUGAUCAAUUAGCUCAACUCACCGAGUAAUCAGGCGUCCAAUGGUUGGGGCUAAAGUCAUCGUCGGCGACUUGGUAGACUUCUGCUGGUGAUGUGAUUCUGCCGGCGUCCCAGGUGGCGGCGUGAGGCUCUGUGAAGCUCAACGCGCGAGGGCCGAGUGUACGUGGGGCGUUGGGGAGCCGACGAGGUAAGCCACCGCUCGGAAAA